AUACGGAGGAUCCGAGCGUUAUCCGGAUUUAUUGGGUUUAAAGGGAGCGUAGGCGGACGCUUAAGUCAGUUGUGAAAGUUUGCGGCUCAACCGUAAAAUUGCAGUUGAUACUGGGUGUCUUGAGUACAGUAGAGGCAGGCGGGAUUUGUGGUGGUGAGGUGGAAUGCUUAGAUAUCACGAAGAACUCCGAUUGCGAAGGCAGCCUGCUGGACUGUAACUGACGCUGAUGCUCGAAAGUGUGGGUAUCAAACAGGAUUAGAUACCCUGGUAGUCCACACAGUAAACGAUGAAUACUCGCUGUUUGCGAUAUACAGUAAGCGGCCAAGCGAAAGCGUUAAGUAUUCCACCUGGGGAGUACGCCGGCAACGGUGAAACUCAAAUGAAUUGACGGGG
rnacentral:rRNA from 1 species